rnacentral:rRNA from 1 species
UACGUAGGGUGCGAGCGUUGUCCGGAAUUAUUGGGCGUAAAGGGCUCGUAGGCGGUUUGUCGCGUCGGGAGUGAAAUCCACUGGCUUAACUGGUGGCUUGCUUUCGAUACGGGCAGACUGGAGGUAUGCAGGGGAGAACGGAAUUCCUGGUGUAAGCGGUGAAAUGCGCAGAUAUCAGGAGGAACACCGGUGGCGAAGGCGGUUCUCUGGGCAUGUCCUGACGCUGAGGAGCGAAAGUGUGGGGAGGCGAACAGGA